GGAGAGGUGACCGAGUGGCCGAAGGUGAUCGCCUGCUAAGCGAUUCAGCGCCCAAAAGGCGCUGCGAGGGUUCGAAUCCCUCCCUCUCCG
rnacentral:tRNA from 1 species